rnacentral:lncRNA from 1 species
GGAGGAUUGGCGCGAUCGAAGGGGGAGGACCGCCACCGCUCAGCUUAGCUGUUCCACGAGAGGGGAUGACCUACUUACGGAACCAGGUAAAAAGUACCGGCGAAAAAUGGCGACCGAUUGGCGGUGGCGGCGCUGCUUACUGAUUGUGAACGAGCCAAUGUGGGGGAGGGGUUUCGAGACGAAAACGAAAGGAAUACGAUCGGAACGUACGAAAGGGACGACGGAAGAAGGAACGAAAGAAAGUGAAAGCCAUGACCCAGAAACGCAAAGCAUCGAAGGCUCUUCGUCGCGUUGUCGUAUUUUAUAUCGUUGUAUUUCAGAAAAGAAUCAUUCGAAUUGAUCGAGAAUAAUCUAAGAAUGAUCUAUCCAGUUCUUAUAUCUUUCUCACCCAUUUGACGACAAAUACGACGAUUAUUCGAAAAUGUUCACUCCAAUAAGUUCUAUUAUUAUUAUUAUUAUUACUACUACUACUACUACCACUAUUUCUUCUUCUUCUGCUCUAAGAAAUAUGACGAAUAGCGAUCAAUAAAAAAUCAAAGACACAAA